AGCCCCGCGGACAACCCUAAGAGCUGCAACUGCUCUCCCAGGAGCGUUGUCACAUUACAUCCCGGGGGAGAAGGGACCCGGAGCCCCUCCACCAAUUCCCUGGUUUAGCACCGCACUGUAAAGUGCAGCACUGCAAGUCCGCCCCUCCCCCGCUCACUGCCAACCGCAAGGGCAGCUGAGGAUGAGGAAGCUGAAACCGGCCCCGCCGGCUUCCUUUCCUCGGUCAGGUUGAACGGCAGAGGACAGAGCCACAGGAUGGAGUCUACAGUUUUCUUACCUGUGCAGUCUCAUCUCCGGAGAACUAAGGACCUUGGACAAAUCACGUGCUUAUGACACCUCCGGCUCCCUGCUCAUGGGGUGUGCAUUGUAUCACCAAGUCUCCAUCUUUUCUCGGCAAAUACACUGGUGGAAGGGACCAAAGAGCCUCAGGCAGCACCCCUCGCCCAGACUAGAGGAACAGGAGAGACUCCCUGCAGAGCUGAUGUUCGUGGGCAGCCCAGUCACUGACCUUCAGACAGUAACUUCAGGCAGUGGCCUUCAGACAGUGGCCAUUUCCCCAGGAAAAUGCCCCACCCAAAAUAAACUUGUUGUGUGGAACAAGCCUUUGGUCCAUCCACAGUGAAAACACCCUGUGAAAACUUGUCUCCUUACCAGCAGAAAGGCUAUGCAUGAUGCGUUCCACAUAUCGGUAAGGAAUAAUGACCAUUCCUCAUGGCGCAGGGGAGGAGAUCCUGAAUUUGCAACUCUUACCCAGUCCAGUGGUAUAAAAGUUUCUGCCACGGCU